rnacentral:lncRNA from 1 species
CAGACGAUGUAUGCAAAUUGCCAAAAUUGUCUAACUUUACAUUUUCUUACAACUUCUUCAAUGGAGAGGCUCAAAGUUGUGUUCCCGGAACAAGUCAAGACAAACAAUUCGAUGAUACAAAUAAUUGCUUACAAAAUAGACCAAAACAGAAGCCUGCUAACGAAUGUUUGCCGGUGAUUACUCGUCCCGUGGAUUGUAGUAAAGACAAGUGUGCUGGUGGUGGUGGUGGUGGUGGAGGGGGCGGCGGAUCUAGCCCAUCACCAAAGCCAACACCUAACCCACCAAAAUUGGAAGAGCCAUCUAAACCAAAACCAGAAGAAUCUCCCGAACCACAACAACCUAGUCCAAAACUUGAGACACCAAAAACAUCAGAGCCUUCUAAGCCAAAGGAACCUAAGCCAGACGCACCAAAACAGCAAUCUCCUAAACCAGAAUCACCAAAACAUGAGUCACCAAAAUCAGAACAGCCGAACCCCAAACCUGAGUCACCAAAACAAGAGUCUCCUAACCAACAACCACCAAAAACAGAGACGCCACAAAUGGGGUCACCGCCAGUAAAACCACCAGUAUCAAAUGAUCCGUACGAAGCAUCUCCUAUUAAAAAACGACGUCCUCAACCACCGUCAACCGAAGAAAUACCAUCAUCACAGUCUCCAACACCUCAUGUAUUUUCACCUCCUCCUCCAGUACAUUCUCCUCCACCACCUCCGGCAUACUCUCCCCCACCACCAGUUUAUCCGCCACCACCUCCAGUGUACUCUCCUCCUCCACCAGUAUACUCCCCCCCACCGCCAGUUCACUCUCCGCCACCGCCUGUCCAUUCUCCGCCACCACCAGUCCAUUCACCACCACCACCGGUCCACUCUCCGCCGCCACCAGUCCAUUCACCACCACCGCCAGUCCACUCUCCUCCACCACCAAUCCACUCUCCGCCGCCACCACCAAUUUUCUCCCCACCACCACCUACACCAAUCUACUCUCCACCACCACCACCAGUUCAUUCACCGCCUCCACCAGUCCAUUCUCCACCACCACCACCAGUCCACUCGCCACCGCCUCCAGUUCACUCUCCACCCCCUCCGGUUCACUCCCCACCGCCUCCAGUGCAUUCUCCUCCGCCUCCAGUCCACAGCCCUCCACCUCCAUUACCUGUCUAUUCUCCUCCUCCUCCAGUUUUCUCACCGCCACCAAAACCUACGGCAAUUAUAUCACCGACAACAUCUCCAAUGGCAAAUGUUCCAACACCUUCGUC